AGGGCAGACAGAAGAUGACAGAUUUCAUCUUGUCACCGAGGUUCACAUUUGAUCAUUUUCUGGAAUCCACUAAUUCCACAGAAUAAUUCUAUGUCAAAUACAAAGCUUUUGGUCAUGAAAAUGGACUUAUGAUCUUGUAGUCUUUUGAAGAACAGCAGCAUAAAAACAUAACAACAACGUGGGAAAUGAUGGAACCUUGAGUAUUCAAGAACGAUUCCUGAUGAACAGAAACACUUUUCAGGUUAGCAAGAGGAGCAUUUCCUGUUGAGAAAUCAAUAUAUAGGAGCUGCAGAAGACUACUGGAGUGAACUAGGAAGAGUACUGCAUCUAUGGAACUCGAAAAACAUUUCAAGUACUACUUCGUUGAAAAUAAAUUUCCUGUGAACAUCAGAUAAUGACAAGCGAUCAGAGUUAGGAUGGGGAAUGAGCUAUGUUUCCUCAAUAGCAUCUUUUGAUACUUUUGACACAAGUACCUCUUUAAGCUGUACCAACAUGCCAGAACUCUGGAAAUGUCUUCCAUUCACUACCCGAUAGAAGACAUAUGGCAAAAAUCAAGGAAUGCCUGCGUA